GAUUUUGGGGCUGGAUUUGGAUCCAGGAUUUGGGGAUUUUGGGGGGAUUUGGGAUCCUGGAUGGAUUUUUGGGACCCUGGACAGAAUUUGGGUGCAGAUUUUGGGAUCCUGGCUGGAUUUUGGGGUGCGUUUGAGGGGAUUUGGGGCUGGAUUUGGGAUCUUUGAUGAAUUUUGGGGAUCCUGGGCUGCAUUUGGGAGAUCCUGAAAAGAUUUUGGGAUUCUGGGCUGGAUUUGGGGACCCUGGGCUGCAUUUUGGGCACAUUUCAGAGGAUUUGGGGAUCCUGGGCUGCAUUUUGGGCACAUUUCAGGGGGUUUGGGGACCCUGGGCUGCAUUUUGGGCACAUUUCAGGGGAUUUGGGGAUCCUGGGCUGCAUUUUGGGCACAUUUCAGGGGAUUUGGGGACCCUGAGCUGUGUUUUGGGCACAUUUCAGGGGAUUUGGGGCUGCAUUUUGGGAUCCUGGAUGGAUUUUGAACACAUUUCAGGGGUUGGGGUCUCACCCAGCUGCGAGUGGGAGAAGUCCACGGACCAGCCCACCCGGAGCAGCGGCACCUCGGAGCUGCCCUCCUUCCCCGGCAGGUUCUGGGACACCUGAGGGCAAAUUUGGGCAUUUGGGACCCAAAAAAUCCG
rnacentral:lncRNA from 1 species